rnacentral:ribozyme from 12 species
GAAAGUGAAAGUGAAAGUGAAAGUGAAAACAAAAGAAGGGGGCGUCGUGAGUGUGUUCGUUGUCCUUUUUGUCUUUUUUUUUUUUUUUUUCC